UGAUUGCUUCCUUUUGUCUAUUAGCAUUAGCUUUUUCAUUAGACUUCUACGGCAUGCAUAUGAACAAGGCUUUAUACACACCAAGUUAUACCUGCAUCACUGCUGGGACUGCUGGGGUCAUGUUCACUGGGGUUUAUGUGCUGGUUGACAUCUAUGGCUACAGGAAGCCAACCUUGGUCAUGGAAUGGCUAGGGAUGCAUGCAUUGAUGGUCUACAUUCUAUUAGGUUGCAACAUCUUCCCUUUAUUUGCCCAAGGAUUCUACUUGAGGGAGCCUGAGAACAAUAUAUUGAAGGUCAUUGGCAUUUCCUAAACAUCAUUUAUCUCGUUCACCGCAUCAUCCUUACCUGGAAAGAAUUUCAAUCAAUGGUAAGAGAUGUCAAAGGAUCUAAUGAAUGAGGAAAAGGAGAAUGCUUGAAAUUAUAUCAGUAUACUUUAUCUAAGUGAUUGUUUGAACAGUUUUAUAGCAUGCAUCUUGACAAUUAAUAUAAUUUUGAAGAUCACUAUCAAGGAAGAAUGUUCAAAGGAAAGUAAAGGCUAAGGAGAAGAAACCAUAUACUCCUUUCCCUCCUCAGCUACCAAGCAAGGUAAUUACUGUAGCCAUUCCUACUAUUGUUUCAAGAGGUUACCAUUUAUGUUACAUAGAUAACGCUUUUUUCACUUCUGUUAGAUGAUUAUAUCAAAUGGUUUUUAUGGUUAUGUAACAUUUAUGUAGUGCAAUUAGAAUCACGCAUACUGUUUAGUUUCUAAUUUGUAAUAUAUAUCUUUAUUCGAAUAGGUGUCCUCAAGAGUAUUGGGAAGAA